GAUGAACGCUGGCGGCGUGCCUAAUACAUGCAAGUCGAGCGAACAGACGAGGAGUUUGCUCCUCUGACGUUAGCGGAGGACGGGUGUGUAACAUGUGGAUAAUCUACCUAUCAGACUGGGAUCAUCUCGGGAAUCCGGCUCUUACACCGGAUAAUAUAUUGAACCGCAUGGUUCAUUAGUGAAAGACGGCUUUGCUGUCACUUCUAGAUGGAUCCGCGCCGCAUUAGCUAGUUGGUAAGUUACCGGCUUAUCAAGGCGACGAUGCGUAGACGACGUGAGAGAGGGGUCGGCCACACGAGAGCGGAGACACGGACCAGACGCCUACGGGAGGCAGCAGUAGGGAAUCGGCCGCAGAGGUGGAGAGCAUUACGGAGCAACGCCGCGUGAGUGAUGAAGGUCUUCGGAUCGUAAAACUCUGUUAUGAGUUAAGAACAAAUGUGUAAGUAACUAAGCACGUCUUGACGGUACCUAAUCAGAAAGCCACGGCUAACUACGUG
rnacentral:rRNA from 1 species